AGUGAACGCUGGCGGUAGGCCUAACACAUGCAAGUCGAACGGCAGCACAGUAAGAGCUUGCUCUUACGGGUGGCGAGUGGCGGACGGGUGAGGAAUACAUCGGAAUCUACUUUUUCGUGGGGGAUAACGUAGGGAAACUUACGCUAAUACCGCAUACAACCUACGGGUGAAAGCAGGGGAUCUUCGGACCUUGCGCGAUUGAAUGAGCCGAUGUCGGAUUAGCUAGUUGGCGGGGUAAAGGCCCACCAAGGCGACGAUCCGUAGCUGGUCUGAGAGGAUGAUCAGCCACACUGGAACUGAGACACGGUCCAGACUCCUACGGGAGGCAGCAGUGGGGAAUAUUGGACAAUGGGCGCAAGCCUGAUCCAGCCAUACCGCGUGGGUGAAGAAGGCCUUCGGGUUGUAAAGCCCUUUUGUUGGGAAAGAAGAGCAGCAGGUUAAUACCCCGCUGUUCUGACGGUACCCAAAGAAUAAGCACCGGCUAACUUCGUG
rnacentral:rRNA from 1 species